rnacentral:lncRNA from 1 species
AGAGAUCUCGACAUAGCUCUUGGUUCGAGAGAAUGAUGAACGCAAUGAGCUCUGCUUGCUCAUUAAGAGGACCCGCAGCUGAAUCGGAGGAUGAUGUGCUUUCACGAGGACUAAUUCAACUGACGUUUCAUAGCGAUUUUGGUUAAGGGACCCUCUACGUCGGGCUGGCGACUCUAAAACUAGCGCUUGGUGGGAGGCAACCCACCGUGGUUUGGUUUUUGUUUUUGUUUUUCUUGUUCUUUGUUUUCCGAUUUUUUGUUUUUGUGUUUUCCUAAGUUUUGGCUGCUUGUGCGGAUACUUUGAUUUCUGGGUGUUAACAUCUUUAUUUUCAGCGCUGCAAUUUCUACUCGUACUCUACUGCCAGCGCUAAAUAGCCAGCUCUGCACUGGACAGAGCUGAAUUCUACUCUGCAGUUGCCAGCGCUGCC